rnacentral:rRNA from 1 species
CCUACGGGCGGCAGCAGUGAGGAAUAUUGGUCAAUGGGCGCGAGCCUGAACCAGCAAAGUAGCGUGAAGGAUGACUGCCCUACGGGUUGUAAACUUCUUUUAUAAAGGAAUAAAGUGAGGCACGUGUGACUUUUUGUAUGUACUUUAUGAAUAAGGAUCGGCUACAUCCGUGCCAGCAGCCGCGGUAAUACGGAGGAUCCGAGCGUUAUCCGGAUUUAUUGGGUUUAACGGGAGCGUAGAGGGGUUGUUAAGUCAGUUGUGAAUGUUUGGGGCUCAACCGUAAAAUUGCAAUUGAUACUGGCAGCCUUGAGUACAGUUGAGGUAGGCGGAAUUCGUGGUGUAGCGGUGAAAUGCUUAGAUAUCACGAAGAACUCCGAUUGCGAAGGCAGCUUACUAAACUGCCACUGACAUUGAUGCUCGAAAGUGUGGGUAUCAAACAGGAUUAGAUACCCUAGUAGUC